rnacentral:rRNA from 1 species
GACGAACGCUGGCGGCGUGCUUAACACAUGCAAGUCGAACGGAAAGGCCCUGCUUUUGUGGGGUGCUCGAGUGGCGAACGGGUGAGUAACACGUGAGUAACCUGCCCUUGACUUUGGGAUAACUUCAGGAAACUGGGGCUAAUACCGGAUAGGAGCUCCUGCUGCAUGGUGGGGGUUGGAAAGUUUCGGCGGUUGGGGAUGGACUCGCGGCUUAUCAGCUUGUUGGUGGGGUAGUGGCUUACCAAGGCUUUGACGGGUAGCCGGCCUGAGAGGGUGACCGGCCGCAGCGGGGGCGGGCGACGCGCGCGACUGCUGGGGGGGGGGGGUGGGGGGCAGACGGCAGCAGGGGGCGGUGGUCGGUGGGGCAGGGCCGGGGGGGGGCGGACGGCCUGCGGGUGGGACCCCGCUGGCGGUUGGGAGGGGUGGGGGGUGAGGGUAAGGGGAACAGAACCACCGGCGACCGACGUGCCAGGGGACGCGGUAUAGGGGGAGGCGCACCCGACUGAAC